UAUAUUAACAUUUGUCAAUUAUUUACUAUCUACAGUACAUGUCGUCUCAUCAUUCUGGUUACAUCAUCACGAUAAACAAUUAAGUCAUUUCUAGGAAGAUUUAACCCAUGUGUUUGGAUAAAUAUGUUCUUAUCUUAACUUACAUUUACAUAGCGCCUUUAUCAUAGGCACUUUGCAAGGGUUAUGGGUGCUACAUUAAGGGUAGCGAAAUGUGAUACGGUGAAUAGGGAUGGGUAUGGCGAGGGAGGUUAGAGGUGUACGGGGAUUACGGGGGAUACCGAGGAAUGGAGGAAACGAUGGGCCAGGGAGAAGAGGUGGGUCUUGAGGGAGUAGCGGAGACUAGACAGGGAGGGUGCUUGCUAAAUAAUGUGGAGGGGAAGUUUAUUCCAGUGCAAGGGGCAAAGAGGGAAAAGGUGCAGAAGCAGUGAUUUUGCACAAAGAGAGGGUGGGAACGGUUAGGAGUGGGAAAUAUUGAGAGCGGAGCGGGCGGGAGGGGACAUCAUACGAGACGAGAGAAGCAAGGGACGGUGGGGCAAGGUCGUGCUGAGUUUGUUAAAAGUGUUAUUUCCCUGUCACUGGUGUUUUAAUCAUCGUCUGGAUUUUUACUGAUUUUAUCGUUAAAAUAUUAUCAUACACUUAUACACGUCCUUUAUUUAACCUGCCGCAAGAGAGAGUACGUUAACCACAGUUGUGUAGAAAUUAUUGUUUCUAAAAUCUUGCAUUUUUUUAUGUUAGAUUGGGAAAAUAAACUCAAAACCAAUUAUAAAUAGUUUCACAUCAGGCUCGAUCCACUCUGUGGCAGAACACUUAAAUCACAAUUGGAAGGACAUGAAGUAAAUUCCUGAUCGGGGGUCAACUGGGCCUAUAAUGCUUACAUGAUUAAUAAACUUAGUAUCCCUUUGGAGAAAGUCAGCAACGGUUUUUGGUGGGAUGUUGCCGUGGAGUAAUGUUUAGCAUUCAGGAUUUUCAAUUCAGAGGUCACCGGAUCGAUCUCACAGAGCAGCAGUUCAAACAAUGGGACAAGUUUCUGAAUCCACCCCAACGCAGCAGUCAGUCAAUCGGCAGGUCUCCGUUUAAGUACUCCCGCCUCUUGCAAGAAGCCAGCCUGGUUAGCAUAGAACGGUAGACGGAAUAUCUCCAACAGCUUCAACUUGUGCAGUACCUUCUUCCAGCAGUGGAACAAGCUCGGCAUUCCAGGUGCGUGACGUCAUUUAUGGACGGCCCCUAAGAUCUUCCAUCGAGUGGCAAAACCGGGCGGCGAAGAUGGAGCGGGUCCCUAGAAGAACAGCCACGUGGUCGAAGACGAAGAUGAUGGUGAGCAGCGACGCACUCAGGACACAGACCCCACGCUAUUAGCCCCGAACCAAGGGUUCGGUGCUCCUUAUAUCUCGCUCGGCGUAGCCGAGCUUCACCUCUGGCCACGCCCCCUUUCUAGAACCUGCUAGACCAUUCGGGAUGGUUCCCAGAGCGUCUCGACUGACACCGCCCUUGACCCUUUCAUCAGAUAUGCCCCUUUAAGAAAAGGCAUUAUGUAAUGGCACUAUAACUGUAAUUACCCUUACAG